rnacentral:rRNA from 1 species
AUGCUUGAUGGUACUCUUCCGUGUCAUGUUAAGCUAGCCAAUAGACAUGUGAAAGUUUCGCCCAAUUGUCAUGUCUUCUUGUCUAGACCAGAAGACACAAAUCAUUUGUUGUUUCUAUGCAACAAAGAAAAAGAUGUGCGGAGAAGGCUAGGGAUGUAUGGUAUUAACGACAGAGCUUGUGAAGUAGAUUAUGCGGGUUUGGCAGUUUCGGAAUAUUUACUUCCAUCGCCAAAUCAGGAGUUAUGUAUUAUGAGCAAUCAAAACAUGCAUGAAAUGAUUGCCAUAAUAACUGGUACUUGUGGUGGGAAAAGCGUAAAUUGGUUCACAACGAUACAACAGAUUUUCAUGGGAAUACAUGUUCUUACGACAAUUUUUUUACUGCCUCCUCGCCGAAGGUUUCCAUGA